rfam:Stegodyphus mimosarum contig69868, whole genome shotgun sequence.
GCCUUCGUGGUAUAGUGCUCAGCAAGCUCGACGCGUAACCGAGAGGUCCGUGGUUCAAUUCCCAGCGAAGGCA